rnacentral:rRNA from 1 species
CGCUCCUUGAAAAGAUUUCUAAUAUAUAAGGAGUUCUGCCUGCCCAGUGACAAAGUUAAACGGCCGCGGUAUUUUGACCGUGCAAAGGUAGCAUAAUCAUUUGCCUUUUAAAUGGAGGCUGGUAUGAAUGGCAAGACGGAGAUUUAGCUGUCUCUCUCUUAGAGUUUUGAAUUUAAUAUUUUUGUGAAGAAGCGAAAAUAGAAUCGUAGGACGAGAAGACCCUAUCGAGCUUAAGUAAUAGGUACAGGUUUGUAGUGUGUUCACAGUAUUAAUUAUUCUUUUAAAGAAGAAAGUUAGUUUUAUUAUGGGGGCACAGGAAUCUUGUAUCUUUUGUUUAGAUUGGGGCAAUCGCGGAAAAAAUAAAACUUCCGUUGUAGAUAAUAGGAAAGUGACUCCUUUAUAUUAUAAUUAGUUAUAUUGAAAUGAUCCGUUUUUAGAAAGCGAGUAAAGGAAUAAGUUACCGUAGGGAUAACAGCGUAAUUUUUUUGGAGAGUUCAUAUUGAUAAAAGAGUUUGCGACCUCGAUGUUGGAUCGGGACUUCCAGAGGAUGCAGCAGUUCUCAAGGGUUGGUCUGUUCGACCAUUAAAGUCCUACGUGAUCUGAGUUCAG